CCAGGGAUCUAUUCUGAGGUCAGGAUCAAGGACUGGAAUGGGUCAACCAUUCAAGACCAGAAAUCCUAGGUUGCUGUAUCCAUUUUCUCUCUUUAAUGUUGUACAAUUCUCAAACUCUCCGUGUACAGGAACCAAUAGUAGCACUGGAACCUGUUAUACGAGUGAAGAAUGCACAUCUAG